UACGUAGGGGGCAAGCGUUAUCCGGAUUUACUGGGUGUAAAGGGAGCGUAGACGGCAGAGCAAGUCCGGAGUGAAAGCCCGGGGCCCAACCCCGGGACUGCUCUGGAAACUGUUAAGCUGGAGUGCGGGAGGGGCAGGCGGAAUUCCUAGUGUAGCGGUGAAAUGCGUAGAUAUUAGGAAGAACACCAGUGGCGAAGGCGGCUUGCUGGACAGUAACUGACGUUGAGGCUCGAAAGCGUGGGGAUCGAACAGG
rnacentral:rRNA from 1 species